rnacentral:rRNA from 1 species
UGGAAGUAAAAAGUCGUAACAAGGUUUCCGUAGGUGAACCUGCGGAAGGAUCAUUACCGAGCGUGGGUCCCCUGUGGCCCCCCUUUCCCGGGGGGGCCCGGGGUUGACCCUAGACCUCCCACCCUUGUCGAUUGUACCGUGUUGCUUCGGCGGGCCCGCCAUUGGCCGCCGGGGGGCUCGUGACUUGUGCGCGUUGCCCCCGGGCCCGUGCCCGCCGGAGACCUCCCUCGAAAUGCUACUGUGGUCUGAAAUGCUGUCUGAGUGGGAAUGAUGUGAGAAAUUGAUCAGUCAAAACUUUCAACAAUGGAUCUCUUGGUUCCGGCAUCGAUGAAGAACGCAGCGAAAUGCGAUAAGUAAUGCGAAUUGCAGAAUUCCGUGAGUCAUCGAAUCUUUGAACGCACAUUGCGCCCCCCGGCUGCCCGGGGGGCAUGCCUGUCCGAGCGUCAUUGCCAUCCCCUCAAGCUCCGCUUGGCUGGUUGGGCCGACGUCCACCCGUGGCUUUGUGCCAGGGGGGACGGACCCGAAAGGCAGUGGCGGCUCCCGGAGGGUGGUCCCUUGGGGCGGUGAUAACAUGGGUUGUCAUCUUUCACCGCUCUGUUGGCCACGCUCCGGGGGUCUGUCGAACGAUUUGGUCUUCCCCUUUAGGUUGACCUCGGAUCAGGUAGGGAUACCCGCUGAACUUAAGCAUAUCAAUAAGCGGAGGAAAAGAAACCAACCGGGAUUGCCUCAGUAACGGCGAGUGAAGCGGCAAGAGCUCAAAUUUGAAAUCUGGCCCCCUCGGGGGUCCGAGUUGUAAUUUGGAGAGGAUGCUUCGGGUUCGGUCCCGGUCCAAGUGCCCUGGGACGGGCCGUCGGAGAGGGUGAGAAUCCCGUCUGCGACCGGUGACUGGGCCUGGGUGAAGCUCCCUCGACGAGUCGAGUUGUUUGGGAAUGCAGCUCUAAAUGGGUGGUAAAUUUCAUCUAAAGCUAAAUAUGGGCCGGAGACCGAUAGCGCACAAGUAGAGUGAUCGAAAGAUGAAAAGCACUUUGGAAAGAGAGUCAAACAGCACGUGAAAUUGUUGAAAGGGAAGCGCUUGCGAUCAGACUCGCCCGGGGAGGUUCAGCUGGCACUUGUGCCGGUGCAUUGCUACCCGGGCGGGCCAGCGUCGGUUUGGACGGCCUGUCAAAGGCCCCCGGAAGGUAGCGCCCUUUGGGGCGUCUGAUAGCCGGGGGUGUCAUGCGGCCUGUCCGGACCGAGGAACGCGCCUUGGGCUCGG